GCCUGGGUGGCUCAGUCGGUUAAGCAUCCGACUUCAGCUCAGGUCAUGAUCUCACGGUUCGUGGGUUCGAGCCCCACAUCGGGCU
rnacentral:tRNA from 1 species